UCCCCAUCUCCACCCUUCCCAUCCCCCUCCUGCCAACGGUCCCGAAUCUCCGGUCCUGUCCCUCCAGACCCCCCUCCCUGCUCUCCAAGGGCUCGUGUGACUACUCUAGUGCCUGGGACAUGGUAAGUGCUUUGAAAAUUCAGCGUUUUCCCAGAAUGGCGGGGGGUCAGGUGCCGGGCUGUGCCAUAACAACAUCUAAGUGCUGAUUUCAUGCUCACAGGCUAGGAGGUCCUGCCUGACCGUCCUCACCUCUCCCGACAUGGUUUCGCACGUGUCGAACGAGGAUACGAUUAAAGACGAAGGUUAACCACAGCACAUGCUAAACUCUCAGAAGCAUUAACUCAGGCCCGAUGGAGAAGAGCAAUCUUCUCAAGGAUGGUGUCUUCUUAUAAUGAUUUUUUAGUGUGUAUUUUUAUUUAUUUUUGAGAGAGAGAGAGAGAGAGAGAGAGAGAGAGAGGGCUCGUGUAAGCGGGGGAAGGGGCAAGGAGAGAGACAAUCCCAACCAGACUCUGUAAUCAUAACUGGACUCAGGGCUCGAUCCCAUGGCCGUGAGAUCAUGACCGGAGCAGAAAUCAAGAACUGGACGCUCGACCGACUGAGCCACCCAGGCGCCCCUAUAGGAUUUAUUUUAAAAAAUUUUAAAUAUAAUUUAAUGUCAAAUUGGUUUCCAUACAACACCCAGUGCAUUAUGGGAUUUAAUCAUCCCAGUUGCCUAACAAGGUAGGUACUAUUAAAAUCCCCAUUGUAGAGACAAAGAAACAGAGGCUCAACAGAGGCUCAGGGGAACAAGGGGCCCCAAAGCACAUGGGAAGCAGGGGGUAAGGACAGGACGUUGCCCACAUCUGUCCUGAUUUGGCUCCCGAGUGACAGGCAGGAAAUCAUCCCCGGCACCUCCCUCGUCACACAGGAGCCACACAAGUGACCGUGCACGCGUGAGCACCUCCUGUCAGCCCCCGUGUCACCGACAGCCCCGUGAGACGCCAGCCUAAAAGCAUUGGACCAACAGUGACUUCCAGUCCUCAGGGGAGUUAACCUCGAGCAAGCGGUCAGCACCUGGGGACCAAGAGUCGAGGUACAGAUGUUGCCGUUUCCAACAAUAAUAAUCCAGUGAAGUAUGAAGCCAGGGACUUACUUGCUGAGAAUCCUACUUCCUUCUGGGCUUAUUCUUCAUGAGACCUGCUGGCUCUGGGACAGAUCAUUCCGUGUAGCUUGAAAUCCACAUGGUUCCCUGUCCUUGCUUGUUCAGCCUGCUGUGCUGGUUAAACAUUAAUUCCUGCUGGUGAUAAAGGUCACAGAAGUCUUGAGAAACCUCCAGGGAGGGCUCCCUUCCCCUACAGCCCUGAACAGCUUGGAUCCCUCUCACCACCGACUUAGCCCAGUCGCCAGAUCCCUCCAUUAUCCCCAACAGCCCCGGUUUCAAGGUUUCGCCUCAUCAGGUCGUCCCGUAAGGUCCAGCCUUGCAGCACAGGAAGCCUUCUCGGAUGCCCCCACACGGAGCCUGCACGCCCUAGCUCUUCCUUCCCCAACCGCUGAAACGAUGGUGACGAUGCAGAGGAGAAUAAUGCCACGGCCGAGAUUGUGGCAGACGUGCAGAAAAACCCCAGGCGAGAGGAUUUUCUUGGGACAGAGAGCAGGGCUGAGAGGAGGCACGGAGAACAUGCAGAGAAGGUCCGCAAGGAGCAUGGGGGCUGACCUUGGUGGCCACCCCACAGGUGCUCUGGGCUCGGGGCUCCGGCGGGGCACGUCAGUUCUUCAUACAGAAGUCAUCUGACAAUGCUCCCCAAACUGGCGUACGUCCCUCGAGGAAACGAGAGCAAAAAUGAACACUUUCGUCCAUAAUCCUACUGCAGACAGAGCGCUGAUGUCAACAUGGGGAGUCGACAUUAGCCUUCGAGUUUUCGGUGUCUGCAAAUGUGUUAACCAGAGGGCGGCAGAACCGCGUAUGCUUUUUGCAACCUGCUUUCCGCCACUUGACAGGAUACCAUAACCACGUGAAACCAGUUCUCCCGACAUUAUUUUUGAAAUCAUCAUCUCCUCUCAUCUUGCGGUCUCUUGAGCUUGUUGUUGUUCUGAAUCGUCCAUUCAUUUACAUGGUGGUGCCUCACUAUGUAAACGUUCUUGCUUAAUAAAGAAUUGGGAUAAUUCGAA